AUGGGCCGCAGUGCAAUUGCAAAAUCGACUGGUCUUCUCCGGGAAGUUAAGAACAGGCAAAGCUCUAACCUUACGAGCCAGGUGCAGCCAACAAAAGCAAGGUCAGCAGAGACAGCACUGUGGGUGCCACACCCAAAGACAGGGAUCUACUACCCCAGGGGCUUUGAGUGGGUCAUGGAGGAUGUCCCAAGCAGCGCAGCAACGUUCCAGCAGACAUACUGGCUCAGGAGCGGCGACGCAGACACAGCAAGCUCUCCCACGUCAACCGACGGCACAGCUGCCUUUGAUAAUCCAUUUCUGUGA
rnacentral:rRNA from 1 species